UACGUAGGCAGCGAGCGUUGUUCGGAAUUACUGGGCGUAAAGGGCGCGUAGGCGGCCUAUUAAGUCGGACGUGAAAUCCCUCGGCUCAACCGGGGAACUGCGUCCGAUACUGGCAGGCUUGAAUCCGGGAGAGGGAUGUGGAAUUCCAGGUGUAGCGGUGAAAUGCGUAGAUAUCUGGAGGAACACCGGUGGCGAAGGCGGCAUCCUGGACCGGUAUUGACGCUGAGGCGCGAAAGCUAGGGGAGCAAACGGG
rnacentral:rRNA from 1 species